UCGAAUGGGGAGAUUCAUCGUCAGCGAUUCCGGUACGUGUGCGGCUCGCGAUGUCCGAGACUUCGGUCUCGCGGCACGCGUCCGCAUGUUUUUUAUUGCUGGAAUCGUCGGCGUGCACUUCUCCCCUAGUAGGACGUCGCGACCCGUUGGGUGUCGGUCUACGGCACGGUAGGUAGCCUGUCACGUGUGCGCUUCACGGCGUUACGCGGGGCAGACCUCCGUUCGCCCGACCGGCUGCUCGGCGGUACUCGCAAGGUAUCUGGCCGCAGACAUACGAACUGCGUCCGGCCCGUCGCAAGCGCGGCAAGUGUUUCCCGGCUGUCACGGAUCUAAUGCCGUCACCGGGCCUUGCCAGCUGUUGGUUGACGGUGUCCUAGGACUGGCUAACAAAAUUAUGAUACCGGUCGGCGACGCUACUGCUUUGGGUACUUUCAGGACCCGUCUUGAAACACGGACCAAGGAGUCUAACAUGUGCGCGAGUCAUUGGGAGCUAUUAAGCCUAAAGGCGCA
rnacentral:rRNA from 1 species